rnacentral:rRNA from 2 species
GUUCACCGGCGAAGUUGAAGCGGCAACAGCUUCAAAUUUUGAAAUCUGGCUUCGGCCCGAGUUUGUAAUUUGUAGAGGAGGCUUUGGGCGCGGCUCUAACUGAGUUCCCUGGAACGGGACGCCACAGAGGGUGAGAGCCCCGUAUAGUUAGAUGCCUAGCCUAUGUAAAGCUCCUUCGACGAGUCGAGUAGUUUGGGAAUGCUGCUCUAAAUGGGAGGUAAAUUUCUUCUAAAGCUAAAUAUUGGCCAGAGACCGAUAGCGCACAAGUAGAGUGAUCGAAAGAUGAAAAGCACUUUGAAAAGAGGGUUAAAUAGCACGUGAAAUUGUUGAAAGGGAAGCGCUUGUGACCAGACUUGCGCCGGGCAGAUCAUCCGGUGUUCUCACCGGUGCACUCUGCCCGGCUCAGGCCAGCAUCGGUUCUCGUGGGGGGAUAAAGGUCCCGGGAACGUAGCUCCUCCGGGAGUGUUAUAGCCCGGGGCGUAAUGCCCUCGUGGGGACCGAGGUUCGCGCAUCU